CCUACGGGUGGCUGCAGUGGGGAAUAUUGGGCAAUGGAGGCAACUCUGACCCAGCAACGCCGCGUGAAGGAAGAAGGCCUUAGGGUUGUAAACCUCUGUCGUACAGGACGAAAAGAAUGAUGGUACUUUACAAGAAAGCCCCGGCUAACUAUGUGCCAGCAGCCGCGGUAAGACAUAGGGGGCAAGCGUUGUUCGGAAUUACUGGGCGUAAAGGGAGCGUAGGCGGGAAAUUAAGUUAGGGGUGAAAGCCUUGGGCUCAACCCAGGAAAUGCCAUUAAUACUGGUUUUCUAGAGUGUGGGAGAGGUUAGUGGAAUACCUAGUGUAGAGGUAGAAUGCGUAGAGAUUGGGUAGAACAUCAGAGGCGAAGGCGGCUUACUGGAACAUAACUGACGCUGAGGCUCGAAAGCAUGGGGAGCAAACAGGAUUAGAUACCCGUGUAGUC
rnacentral:rRNA from 1 species